AGAAGAGGAUUGGUGCAGUUCCCAAAAACCCUGUUUCCUCAUGUUUCUCAAUCCUGCCCUGGAUCUGCAUUCACAGUUCUGGAAACUUUCCUAGGAUUCAGGACUAAGGGCUUCCUAUAGAACCUCAUGACUCUGCCUCCCCCGAGGCCUCUCACAUGAUGUCUUUUACCCACAGAUGGAGAUGGAGGGAGUUAUACUCAGACUGCAAGAGAAGACAGUAUCUGAGGCCCUAAUGUAUCUCUCAUGGCUCCUAAAGUGUGAGACUGAUGGCUUGUGUGGAACCGAGCAAAGAAAGCUGUGUUCACACCCCUACUCUAUGACUUUAGAACCCAGACCUCUCUUUUUGUAGAGGUGUCUGAAUGUGUCUGUGUUCUUGUACUGUAAUGUGAGAAAGUGGGGAGGCUGACCCACCCCUGCCCACAAUGGCCUCCAUUUCUUCCCCCCACCAUUGUGCGAUGGUAUCAUAGGUGUUUGUGUAUCAUCAUAUUAUUUAUUUACAUAUGUGCAGUUCUUUGUUGUAUAUCAGUGCUACCGCAAAAAAUAUCAUUUUGAAAAACAUACUUUGAAAGUGGCUGAGUGGUUCCUAAUUUAGCCAUUGCCUUUUGAGAUCAUAUGUUAGAUUGACAAAGUCCUUGUAAUUUUUAUGUAUUUUAUUUUUAAAGUAAAUGAUUCACUCUACUUUCUGAUCAGAAAUAAUGUUAACUUUGAACUUCCCUGAGGUCUAGUGGUUAAGACUCUGUGCUUCCACUGCAGGGGGCAUGGGUUCCAUCCCUGGUCGGGGAUGUUCCACAUGCUGCAGUGUGGCCCCCCCCUGCAAAAAAAAAAAGAUAUAAUGUUAACUUCAAAUCUUAGUUUCUGAGUAGUUCAACUUUCAGCUAAUUAUGUGCAAUCCUAUCUGACAGAAGUUGUGUGUGUACAGUGAAGCUUAGAGAAUAUCAACAAAAAGUGGAUGUGAAUCUUCAGUUCUUAAAUUACAGACAAAAAGGAAAGUUUAUAAAUCACAAGUCUUGCUGUUCUUUUCUGCUAGAUCAGCUCAAGAUAGACAAUUUGACACCUGGGUGUGGUUUCCGUGUGUAUAUGGUUUCACCUCCUCUUUACAAAUAGCAGGAAGCACAAUUAAUGGGUUGUAUAAGCAUAUGUUUAGUUUUGUAAGAAACCGCCAAACUCUCUUCCAAAGUGAUUGUAUCAUUUUGCAUUCCCGUCAGCAAUGAAUGAGAUUUCUUUAUUCUCUGUAUUUUAUUGGCAUUUGGUGUUUCAGUGUUCUGCUUUUUGGCUGUCCAAAUAGCUAUGUUGUAGUACUCUUGUUGUUUUAAUUUGCACUUUUCUGAUGACAUAUGGUAUGGAGCAUCUUUUCAUGUACUGUUCUGCCAUCUGUAUGUCUUCUUUCAUAAGGUAUCAGUUAAGGUCAUUGGCCCAUUUUUUAACCAAGUUUUUUCUUAUUGUUGAACUUUAAGUUCUUUGUAUAUUUUAGAUAACAGUGCUUUGUCAGUUAUGCAUUUUGUAGGUAUUUUCUCCUAGUCUAUGGCUUGUCUUUUCGUUCUUUUAAGCAUUGCUAGAUUUAAUAUUUAAAUGUAUAAUUUAAAAAAUAUAGUAGUACAGCAAAACUAUUUAUAAAAUACCUCUUUGAUAGAAAACUAUACUUAGAAAGUUUUCUCACUUUAUACCAACUCUGUAAUUGGAAAAGUACUUUUAUUUCAUAUAUGAAUAAAAAAAUUUUUUGAAUAAAAAUUUGAUACUAUUUUUCUAUACUCAUAGAGAACAGUGAUAAAUGUGUCCUUUAUAUAAUUCAGAUAUUUGAUUAGUUUCCCAGUAUA
rnacentral:lncRNA from 1 species